CUGCGGCCCAACCGAAAGGGGGGAGCAGCCGAAGGUGAAGCCAGUGACUGGGGUGAAGUCGUAACAAGGUAGCCGUACCGGAAGGUGCGGCUGGAUCACCUCCUUU
rnacentral:rRNA from 1 species